AAUUUCGAAGCUGUGCACAAUUUACAUACCGUGUGAACGUGGCCGACAACGUCUAUGCCACCUAUCGGAAUUUUUCGGAACUAGCACAGCCUCUCAACAGCAUCAUCUGUUGGAAUAAUUCGAUAACUUAUCCACAAGAAAGACCACCAAAGCUUACAUAACCCCGCACUUACCUGUGGAUAUAAGAUUAAACCGGUAAACAAUAAGGAAGCAAAGAGCCUGAGAGCACGCGUAGACGUGUUACCUAUUAUGUGGAGUAACUGCCGCUCCUACAAUAAACACUGAAACUUGGGUCGUAAAAAAUUACGACUAGAAGAAAAAGAAAAUAGGAAAAACCGUUUCAGAAACGCUUUACGUCCAUACCAAGCGUCGCUUGAAAGCAGAAUGAACGCCAGACGUCCCAACGUCCAAAGGCUGUGCCUCCCACUUCUUCUCAUCGUCGAUUUGAAUCGUGAAGAGAAAUUGUAUGAAGCACACCCAUUGUCUCACAAGUUCCCUUUGCUGCUUGCAGACUAAAAUAAUCAAGCAAAUGAAAAUCACAAAGACAGAUGCGAAGGUAGAAUGAAAUUCUUAUCUAUUAUAUAUCCUCCUUAUGUCUUU